GCUGUUUGAAACUUAAAUACGCCCUUAAACUUUGGGGCACGAUUGCUGAUCAAAAUGGAAUUAAGGCGGGGGUCAUCAAAGCUCUGUGCAUCACUAAGAGGAUUGGCAUAUUCUAGCAGAUAUGUCAACUUAUUGAACCCUUGAAACCUGUCACGAAUUUUUCAUCAAAGCAGAAAAACGUCGGAUUACUUUUGUGAAGCAUCACCAGAUCUUGCACAUCAUCUUAAUUCUCCAUGAAAUUAUACUUAUAAAAAAUAUAGAUGCCACAUACUAAGCAAGCCUUUAAUCUUGUAUUGUAUUAAUUGGAUAAACAAUAAAUUUACUUUUAAAAAAUUAA